AUAAUAAAUGUAGGCCUACUAUAAAACAAAUUAGGCUACUAUUUAAAACUUAACAUGCCGUAAGGCCAACGGUCCUGUCUGAUUUCUCAAAAGGCCACAAAUUGAUCACUUAAAACGUUAUUUUAAGUUUAAUUUUUUUUUGUUUUAAACGUUCUAAAACAUUGUGUUUGUAUUCUUGACAACGUCAUAAACCAUGCUUCGAAAUGUCAAAAACAAACCCAAAAAAACAAACAAACAAACAAAAACAAACCCUGUUUUAUUUCAGCAUUUUGUGUGUCAAUGGUGCCCCCUGUUGAUUGACGCUGUUGUCGGUUCUCCUCAGCACUGUUUUAUUAAACCUCUCCCUCCCUCGACGUCAGCUUUUGGGAACUUGGGCAAGGGAAAGUUUAGGGAGAAAAAAAAAAUCUGCUGUUGUCUAUGUAUGGAUGAAUACUGAAAGCCUUUCGUACAGGAGAGAAAACUAGCGCAGUGUAGCCCGAAAUGGCGAAUGCGUGGCAUCCGCGCUGAAAAACCUAACGUUACCGCGGACGCGUUUAAUGGGCUGUGAACAAACUUUUCCAUUUUGUUUUCAUGGAAUUUUUUUACCUCUUUUCCGGACGGACAGAGGCAACAAAGCGAAACUUGAGUUUACCGGUGACAGUAUUCCAAGGAAAGAAAAUCCACGAAGUUUCAAACGAGGACAUCAAUCAGACGGAAGGAUUUUAAAAGGCUGCGCGCGUGACUGUGUUAAGAUCAAAUCGGGGAGAAACUUAUCUAAAACUUGCUAAAAGAUCUGGGUGAAACGAACAAUGGCAAAGAAAUACGACUUCCUCUUUAAAUUAUUGCUUAUUGGAGAUAGUGGUGUUGGCAAGACCUGUUUGAUCAUCCGUUUUGCAGAGGACAAUUUUAAUUCAACGUACAUAUCAACCAUCGGUAUUGACUUCAAAGUGAAGACCAUUGAGGUUGAGGGAAAGAAAGUCAAACUUCAAGUCUGGGACACAGCAGGACAGGAGAGGUUUAAGACCAUCACUACUGCAUACUACAGAGGGGCCAUGGGCAUCAUCCUUGUGUAUGACAUCACUGAUGAAAAAUCCUUUGAGAAUAUUCAGAACUGGAUGAAGAGCAUCAAAGAAAAUGCAUCAGCAGGUGUAAGUCGGAUGUUACUGGGCAACAAGUGUGAUAUCGAGUCCAAAAGGAAAGUGUCAAAGGAGAUAGGCGAGAAGCUCGCAAAGGAACAUGGUAUUCGAUUCUUCGAGACUAGUGCAAAAUCAAGCAUCAACGUUGAUGAGUCUUUUGCUGCUCUUGCACGAGACAUUUCGCUGAAGUCAAAUAAGAAGCCGGGUCCAUCUGGUCGUGAGGUUAAACUUACCAGCACAGAGAAAAAGUCCUCCAAAUGUCUUCUUCUUUAGAUAUGCUUUUAAGCAGAGGAUGGUCUCACUACACACACACACACACACACACACACACAGUAACAUUGCAGUGUUAAUGCCUGAAAGUUCUUUGCAAAGUGAACAUGGAAUGCUAAUAGGAAGUGGGUUCAAAGGAUGAUGGCACUAGUAAGAUAUGAAAUACAUGAUAUGAGAUAUGAAACAGGGUACAGCUUUCAUGUAGUUAGAGGAAAAUCACAUUUUUUUGUUACUUCAUGUUUAGAUUUUCGCACUACACAACGAAAACAGUGACUAGGCUACAGUGGAGACAAUGUUGGUUUUACUUGCAUAACAAGUUUUGCUCAGUCAAAAUGGAGAACAAGUACCUAAUGAAUUUCUAUCUUUUGGCAACUUCAAGUGAAAUAUAUAGUCCAGUUUGAUGGCUAGUCAGCACUUUUUGAAAAAUGGUUUGAAUGUUCGUUGCUAUAAAAGGUGAACAACUUCAAGUUUAAAGACUUUGACCUUUAAUGGAUGGAUAAGAGAUUUUAGGAUGUUAAAUGAGAAAAGAAUUUAUGGAUUAUGGUUGGGAAUAUAAUAAUAUUCCACUGACAAUUCACAGUGUGUUUCUCCAAAAGGGAUUAUGGCCAGACAUAAUUCACAUAUUUGGUUUUGCAUAAUUUUUGCAAAUUUACGUCUUCCUGCCGUAUUCCACUUGUCUAUAUUCUUUUCCACAGCAUAUUUCUCAGAAUUUGUACACUGAUC